UAUGUAUAUAAUAUAUGUAAUAUAUAAACACAUAAUCCAAAUAAUCGAAUCUUAGAUGAUGAAUUGGUGUUCAUAUGUCCAAGUACUAGAUUAUAUCAUCCUAUAGUAUGAUAACUUGUUACGAUUCUAAUGGAACCUUGUUCCAUGAAACCAUAUAAACUCCUUGGAGUACAUAGUGUCAAGAACAAGUAUCAUAUGUAUUAGAUGAUUAUUUUCACAUGUUAUUCUCAUAUGUUAUUUUCAUGUUGUUUUAUUCCGAAUCUCGACUCUAAACAUACUUGAACUUUAAGCCUUAUACAUUCGGACUCUAAAUCUCUACUCGUUAACAAUUGGAUAAUCGGAAAGCAUAUGCAAACUUAUUACCUUGUUGAUGAUGAUGAUGCUAUGAAAUGAAGUAGCAAUGAUGCCUAGAUACACAUAUAGACGUUUAGGUUUAAAUGUUGUAUCAAUUUUGAUUAUGAUGUUAUGUAUUUCUUUUGAACUUGUUGUUAUUUGAAUUUCCUUGUAUUGUUGACAAUUUACUUUAUGAAAUGAAAUCGGUUUAUUAAAUAUUGAC
rnacentral:lncRNA from 1 species